CCUACGGGGGGCUGCAGUGGGGGAUAUUGGACAAUGGGGGGAACCCUGAUCCAGCGACGCCGCGUGAGUGAAGAAGUAUUUCGGUAUGUAAAGCUCUGUCAGCAGGGAAGAAAGCAAUGACGGUACCUGACCAAGAAGCCCCGGCUAACUACGUGCCAGCAGCCGCGGUAAUAGGUAGGGGGCAAGCGUUAUCCGGAAUUACUGGGUGUAAAGGGAGCGUAGACGGCUGUGCAAGUCUGGAGUGAAAGGCGGGGGCGCAACCCCCGGACUGCUCUGGAAACUGUAUGGCUGGAGUUCAGGAGAGGUAAGCGGAAUUCCUAGUGUAGCGGUGAAAUGCGUAGAUAUUAGGAGGAACACCAGUGGCGAAGGCGGCUUACUGGACUGUAACUGACGUUGAGGCUCGAAAGCGUGGGGAGCAAACAGGAUUAGAUACCCCUGUAGUC
rnacentral:rRNA from 1 species